rnacentral:lncRNA from 1 species
CCCUCAUGGCUAAAUCAGAAUAAAAGGACUGGCCGAUUGGCUAGAAACCGUGGGCAAAGCCUGACGGCAUCAUCGCAGGGAAAUUCCCAAAAUGCCUCCGAUAAGACCCUUCCCAAUUUCUGUUCGGCAUAAUUUUUCCACCAUUGUGAUCAUCGUUUCCUUCUCUACAGGUUGACCGGAGCAAAACACCUAGCCGCAACGUGAGCCAGAGGAGCUGCCGCACCAGAGAGCCCCACUGCUGGUGAGUUUCGAUUUUUUGUGUUUUUCGACCAAUCGAGGCCCCUUAAACGUAUUUUCUAAUGAGGAUCAAUGCAAAAUCAGCUGAAUUUGACUGAAAAUGGCCGAAAACAGUCAACCUGAGGUGGACCACUGUCGCGAGCAGUGGUGCCGUCGUGUGAUAAUUCUAGAAUUGGCCAAAAUU